GACGAACGCUGGCGGCGUGCCUAAUACAUGCAAGUAGGACGCAGUUGCGAACGGGUGAGUAACGCGUAGGUAACUACCUAUUAGAGGGGGCUAACUAUUGGAAACGAUAGCUAAUACCGCAUACUAGUAGAUGGACCUGCGUUGUAUUAGCUAGUAGGUAGGGUAAUGGCCUACCUAGGCAACGAUACAUAGCCGGCCGUGAAGGGUGGUCGAGCAAACUGGGACUGAGGCAAGGCCCAGAAUCCUACGGGAGGCAGCAGUAGGGAAUCAUCGGAAAAGGGGGGAACCCUGGCCGAGCAACGCCGCGGGGGUGAAGGAGGUUUUCGGGUCGGAAAGCUCUGUUGUUAAGGAAGCGGUACUUAACCAGAAAGGGACGGCUAACUACGUGCCAGCCGCCGCGGUAAUUC
rnacentral:rRNA from 1 species